GCAUCCGUAGCUCAGCUGGAUAGCGUGCUUAGCACGAACCGAGCGGUCGGAGGUUCGAAUCCUCCCGGAUGCACCA
rnacentral:tRNA from 1 species